rnacentral:lncRNA from 1 species
CCAGGAGCCACCACAGCCCUGUCUGUGACUCUCAGCUCCCGAGGCUGGGCUCUUCCCCAGGGAAGCUGCAUGACCAUGGCCACAUACAGGAGGAGACCCUAAAACUCCAUUGGCCUCAUGUCCAGAACUGAAUCAGGUUCAGCUCGUGGAAGACAUUCAGGAUCCGGUCUCGAGACUUCUGGGCCGACCGUCUCAUGAGGACCCUGCUGAGGAACUUCCUGUCGAAGUGGGACCACCUGUAGGGACAGACCUUGGGUGUGAGCCUCAGGUGACAGGCGCCCUAGAGCCCGCCGGACGCGUGGCCCGGCCCCUUCUCUCCUGAAUUUUGUUUGCUAUAGUGACCCUGUAGGCGCGUUUAAAAUGAGGGAAGCAGCCCCUGCCACACGCCCAGGCCGUCCGCCGUUCUCCCGCCUGUCCUGUUGGAUGGAGGCCGUUAGACGCAUAUGAAACUGCAUGCCGCCUCCUCCAGAGGGUGGCUCAGGACACGCCUAACGGAAUUAGAGUAUUCGCUGGUUAUCCAGAUCAGAAGGGACGGUGGCCUGGCCGGACUUAGAGGAAACUCUGGGGCACAAGGAGGUGAUGCCUGUCACUUGGACAUGGGUGCAGCCGCCAGAGCCGCCCUCCAGGGCACAGGGUGGGCCCGGGUGAGCUUGUGUGCUCACACCUGGGCAGGCCCCGCGGCAGCAAUGGCAGCUCUCCUGUACAGGCUGAGUUUCAGCCACACCAAGAAGUCAAAGCUAACCGAGGCUGUGCCUUCCGAGACCCCCGGGAUGGCCCCUGGGAGGCCAAGG